UACAGAGGGGGCAAGCGUUGUUCGGAAUUACUGGGCGUAAAGGGCGCGUAGGCGGCCCGCUAAGUCGAACGUGAAAUCCCUGGGCUUAACCCAGGAACUGCGUCCGAUACUGGCAGGCUUGAAUCCGGGAGAGGGAUGCGGAAUUCCAGGUGUAGCGGUGAAAUGCGUAGAUAUCUGGAGGAACACCGGUGGCGAAGGCGGCAUCCUGGACCGGCAUUGACGCUGAGGCGCGAAAGUGUGGGGAGCGAACAGG
rnacentral:rRNA from 1 species